AGGCAGCAGUGAGGAUAUUGGUCAAUGGACGAGAGUCUGAACCAGCCAAGUAGCGUGAAGGAUGACUGCCCUAUGGGUUGUAAACUUCUUUUAUAUGGGAAUAAAGUGGGCCACGUGUGGCUUUUUGUAUGUACCAUACGAAUAAGGAUCGGCUAACUCCGUGCCAGCAGCCGCGGUAAUACGGAGGAUCCGAGCGUUAUCCGGAUUUAUUGGGUUUAAAGGGAGCGUAGGCGGAUURUUAAGUCAGUUGUGAAAGUUUGCGGCUCAACCGUAAAAUUGCAGUUGAUACUGGYAGUCUUGAGUGCAGCAGAGGURGGCGGAAUUCGUGGUGUAGCGGUGAAAUGCUUAGAUAUCACGA
rnacentral:rRNA from 1 species